rnacentral:tRNA from 1 species
GCCUGGGUAGCUCAGUCGGUUAAGUGCCUGACUUCAGCUCAGGUCAUGAUCUCACGGUUUGUGGGUUCGAGCCCUACAUCAGGCU